GGAAAGAUGAAAAGAACUUUGAAAAGAGAGUUAAACAGUACGUGAAAUUGUUGAAAGGGAAACGAUUGAAGUCAGUCGUGCUGGCGCGAAAUCAACCCUCUCAUCGGGAGAUCACAUGUUGUGGCGAGCCUCAAAACCGCCACAGCGUGUGACCUCACGAUGAGGGGGAGCACUUUCGUGUCCGCUGGUUAACAUCAAUUUCGAACGUCAUAAAAAGGCUGGAGGGAUGUGGCUCCUUCGGGAGUGUUAUAACCUUUAGCGGAAUGUGGUGGUCGGGAUUGAGGAUUGCAACGAAUACCUUUAGGGCUGUUCCACCUGGCUUCUCUUUGGUAUCCUGGUGAAGACAGCUUGCUGACUUUGUUAGGAUUCGCCUUUGAACAGGCUAGAGUGUGAGCAAAUUCGUUAAGGAUGUUAACGUAAUGGCUUUAAACGACCCGUCUUGAAACACGGACCA
rnacentral:rRNA from 1 species